GAUGAACGCUGGCGGCGUGCUUAACACAUGCAAGUCGAACGAGAAGUGAAGACGGAAACCUUCGGGCGGAAGGCUUUAUUUCGAGUGGCGGACGGGUGAGUAACGCGUGGGUAACCUGCCUCAUACAGGGGGAUAACAGUUGGAAACGACUGUUAAUACCGCAUAAGACCACAGCACCGCAUGGUGCGGGGGUAAAAACUCCGGUGGUAUGAGAUGGACCCGCGUUCGAUUAGCCAGUUGGCGGGGUAACGGCCCACCAAAGCGACGAUCGAUAGCCGAUCUGAGAGGAUGACCGGCCACAGUGGGACUGAGACACGGCCCAAACUCCUACGGGAAGCAGCAGUGGGGAAUAUUGCACAAUGGGGGAAACCCUGAUGCAGCGACGCCGCGUGAGUGAAGAAGUAUUUCGGUAUGUAAAGCUCUAUCAGCAGGGAAGAAAAUGACGGUACCUGAGUAAGAAGCCCCGGCUAACUACGUG
rnacentral:rRNA from 1 species